rnacentral:rRNA from 1 species
UACGUAGGGCGCAAGCGUUGUCCGGAAUUAUUGGGCGUAAAGAGCUCGUAGGCGGCCUGUUACGUCUGCUGUGAAAUCCCGGGGCUUAACCCCGGGCGUGCAGUGGAUACGGGCAGGCUGGAGGCAGGCAGGGGAGAACGGAAUUCCCGGUGUAGCGGUGAAAUGCGCAGAUAUCGGGAGGAACACCGGUGGCGAAGGCGGUUCUCUGGGCCUAUACUGACGCUGAGGAGCGAAAGCGUGGGGAGCGAACAGG